rnacentral:rRNA from 1 species
UACAGAGGGGGCAAGCGUUGUUCGGAAUUACUGGGCGUAAAGGGCGCGUAGGCGGCCUUCUAAGUCGGACGUGAAAUCCCUGGGCUCAACCCAGGAACUGCGUCCGAUACUGGAAGGCUUGAGUCCGGGAGAGGGAUGCGGAAUUCCAGGUGUAGCGGUGAAAUGCGUAGAUAUCGUGAGGAACACCAGUGGCGAAGGCGGGUCUCUGGACAGUUCCUGACGCUGAGGCACGAAGGUCAGGGGAGCAAACGGG